GAUAUUAGCAAAUACUCCAGCGAGGACUGACGUGGAGAAGGGUUUCGUGUGAACAGCCGUUGCACACGAGUCAGUCGAUCCUAAACCUUAGAGAAAUCCUAAGCCUUAGGAGAAAUCCUAUGUCAAUGACGGCGUACGAUACUCUAAUGUUUGAGAGAGAGAGACACACGUCCGUCGGGCGAAAGGGAAUUCGGUUCCUAUUCCGGAACCCGGCAGCGGAACCGCAUACAAUUCGGGCCCUCGUAAGAGUGUUCGUCGGGGUAACCCAAAAUGACCUGGAGACGCCGUCGGGAGAUCCGGGAAGAGUUUUCUUUUCUGUAUAAGCGUUCGAGUUCCCUGGAAACCUCUAGCAGGGAGAUAGGGUUUGGAACGCGAAGAGCACCGCAGUUGCGGCGGUGUCCGGAUCUUCCCCUCGGACCUUGAAAAUCCAGGAGAGGGCCACGUGGAGGUGUCGCGCCGGCUCGUACCCAUAUCCGCAGCAGGUCUCCAAGGUAAAGAGCCUCUAGUC
rnacentral:ncRNA from 1 species